CGUUAGCUAUUGCAGCGGCAUCCUUUUUUGGGCGGCCCUGCCGGCUAAAAAAGAUACAGCGGAAAGAGCGCCCCGUU
rnacentral:sRNA from 1 species